rnacentral:rRNA from 1 species
AAGGAUGAAGGCCUUCUGGGUUGUAAACUUCUUUUACCUGGGAAGAAACCUCUUUUUUCUAAGAGAGUUGACGGUACCAGAGGAAUAAGCACCGGCUAACUCCGUGC